GUGCACCAGGCGAGAAACCUCCGCAAUACACGAAAGUGUGACGGGGCCAUCCCGAGUGCCGUCCGCUGAGGACGGCUUUUCCCCAGUGUACACAGCUGGGGGAAUAAGGAGAGGGCAAGCCUGGUGUCAGCCGCCGCGGUAAUACCAGCUCUCCAAGUGGUGGGGACGGCUUAUUGGGCCUAAAGCAUCCGUAGCCGGCUGGGCAAGUCCUCCGUUAAAUCCAACGAUUCAAUCGUUGGGCUGCGGGGGAUACUGUCCAGCUUGGGGGCGGGAGAGGCCGACGGUAUUCCCGGGGUAGGGGUGAAAUCCUAUAAUCCCGGGAGGACCACCAGUGGCGAAGGCUGUCGGCUAGAACGCGCCCGACGGUGAGGGAUGAAAGCUGGGGGGAGCGAACCGGAUUAGAUACCCCGUAGUCCCUGAA
rnacentral:rRNA from 1 species